rnacentral:rRNA from 1 species
AACGAACGCUGGCGGCAGGCUUAACACAUGCAAGUCGAGCGAGACCUUCGGGUCUAGCGGCGGACGGGUGAGUAAACGCGUGGGAACGUGCCCUUCUCUACGGAAUAGCCCCGGGAAACUGGGAGUAAUACCGUAUACGCCCUUUGGGGGAAAGAUUUAUCGGAGAAGGAUCGGCCCGCGUUGGAUUAGGUAGUUGGUGGGGUAAUGGCCCACCAAGCCGACGAUCCAUAGCUGGUUUGAGAGGAUGAUCAGCCACACUGGGACUGAGACACGGCCCAGACUCCUACGGGAGGCAGCAGUGGGGAAUCUUAGACAAUGGGGGCAACCCUGAUCUAGCCAUGCCGCGUGAGUGAUGAAGGCCUUAGGGUUGUAAAGCUCUUUCAGCUGGGAAGAUAAUGACGGUACCAGCAGAGAGCCCCGG